rnacentral:lncRNA from 1 species
AGAAAAUAAAACAUAUGGAGUAAACUGCAGGAUGUUGUGGUUUAUUCCAUGUUUUGGUAUUUUUAGCUGCUCCCAAUGAACCUAUAGUUCUGAAGUUUGCAUCCAAAGUAUAUUAAAAAUAAAUUCAUUAGCUAAGGAAUAUUAAAAAGCUGGCUAUAUAUUUGGGUUGAAUUUUCUUGUUUUGCAGGAAGCAACAGCCCUCAAUUGCCUGCAUUUUCUUUCCUCUUCAAAACCACUUCUGCUCCAAAGACCAUGAACCUGAACUGAAGAAACGACUCUUUCCUGCUGGCAUGAGAUAAUUCAGUCUCCAUGAUGUCUUAAUCCUGGGCCUCCCUUAAUUGACUUCUAACUGUGCUGAACUGUGGCUGUGAGGAGUUCCAAUGUGGAUUGCAAUUUACAAGGCACUGGAAUCGUUUCUUGUCUUCAAAUUAGUCCUGAGCUGUACUUGAGAAAGAAAAAAAAAGAGGGGGGCGACCUUUACCCUUCUUGCUGUCUUGCCACCUCAAGAAGAGAAAAAGACCUGACUCUGUUUGGAAAAUGCAAACAUGGAAGAACUCAGAAACAAUAG